AGCGCCGUGCGCUGGCGGUAGUGCGCUCGGCUCAUAACCCAGAGGUCGCAGGUUCAAAUCCUGCCCCCGCUA
rnacentral:tRNA from 1 species